AAUGAGCUGUUUGUGUAUGGCCUUUUGUGCCAGAAUUGAGCUGUGUGUGUAUGGCCUUUUGUGCCAGAAUUGAUGUCCAUCUGAUGUGUUCAUAGUGUACGCAGUGGCGAACCCACAUGUAGUCAUUGUGGGUCCGGUGACACACUAUUAUUUUUUGAAAAAAAAAAAAAUUAGAUCAAUUUUCACGCCUCUCAGUCACUCUCUCUCCUCCCAAAGUCCUAGAAAGCCAGAAAACAAAACCUAAACACGUUUCCUCUCUCUUUCCUCCAUUGAAGCGUCAUGCAUACUCAAAAAUCUCCAUUGAAGAGGCUUCUGAGCUUUCUCUCCUCCACUGAAGCAGUCUCAAAGGGUUUGGUUUGUGGAGCGUAGCAACUCGAAAUUCUCCAUUGAAGCGGGCAAGCGGCUUCUGACUUUCUAAGCUUUCGCUCCUCCACUGAAGCAGCCUACUCUGAGGUUAGAUCUUGAUAAUCUAGUGACUAGUGUAGUAGUGCUAUUGUCAGAGUCAGUAUAUACCUAAUUUAGGGAAUUAGGGUGGUUUCGGUGGUGGUGUCGGAGGGGGUGGCUGUCGGGGCUGAACUAGGGCCUGGCCGCCUGGGGAGUGGCUAUCGGUCUCACGGAGUCACGGCCUUGUACAAUUAUAAUUUGGUUUUUCUUUGUAAAAUUCUUCCUUCUUAAAUCUUGGUGAUGAUUCAGUAUUCUCAUGUUGAGUUCAACCUUCUAGAUUUAAGUUAAGACUUUAAUCUCCUAGAAUGUAUAUAGGCGACGCUGGAUUUUAACAAUAGGAUGCAUUUUGAAGUAGUGGAGUCCAUUAGCUAUUUUCCUUGUUGAAAAGCAAAUCAUUUGGGAAUCACUGGUGCUAUAAUAAUCAAAAUGCUAUUGAAGUUCUAAACUCUGAAAUCUGAAUACACCAUGCUGUAUGUCGAAUAGCAACCAUGAACUGAUGUGUAAUUUAUCUAUGACAUGAAUGUUGUUAUUUGGAGUUGAGCACAUUGUUGGAGGUUGCAAAUUAUUUUUGCUUCUCACGUCACCAAUCUUACUUGGAAUUGGGCUCGUGAGAGCGUUCUGUUGCAAAUCAAGAGAUACCAAAUUCUUAAGUUUGCCUAUCUUAGAUGGGACACAUCCAUUCAACAGGCAAUAAGCAAUGGCUAGAACUUUCGAUUCAAUAAUGUUGCCAAUACUUUUGGGGAUAUUUCCUCGAAGCAAGUUGUCCCCUAUUCUAAGAACCUCCCAUUUAGAAAGAAAACUGAGCUCUAAUUAGUUUAAUAUGGCUAAUGUUAUCUUUAGUGCUUCUCUUAUUUACUUUUGAGUAUAUCUUAUUAACUUUUGUAUUUGUUUUCUUUACUUUAAAAUAUAUAAUGUAUAAAGAAACUAAAAAUGACUCUAUAAUAGCCUACUCUCUCAAUUGUUAGAGCAUUGUGCAAGUGCACAAAAAAAUGUGGGUUCAAAUCCCACGUAGGUUUUUUUUAACGCUUCGAACCAUUAGAUUAUAGAUACACUUUUGAUAUUUUUA